rnacentral:rRNA from 1 species
GACGAACGUUGGCGGCGUGCUUAACACAUGCAAGUCGAACGGAAAGGCCCUGCUUUUGUGGGGUGCUCGAGUGGCGAACGGGUGAGUAACACGUGAGUAACCUGCCCUUGACUUUGGGAUAACUUCAGGAAACUGGGGCUAAUACCGGAUAGGAGCUCCUGCUGCAUGGUGGGGGUUGGAAAGUUUCGGCGGUUGGGGAUGGACUCGCGGCUUAUCAGCUCGUUGGUGGGGUAGUGGCUUACCAAGGCUUUGACGGGUAGCCGGCCUGAGAGGGUGACCGGCCACAUUGGGACUGAGAUACGGCCCAGACUCCUACGGGAGGCAGCAGUGGGGAAUAUUGCACAAUGGGCGGAAGCCUGAUGCAGCAACGCCGCGUGCGGGAUGACGGCCUUCGGGUUGUAAACCGCUUUCGCCUGUGACGAAGCGUGAGUGACGGUAAUGGGUAAAGAAGCACCGGCUAACUACGUGCCAGCAGCCGCGGUGAUACGUAGGGUGCGAGCGUUGUCCGGAUUUAUUGGGCGUAAAGGGCUCGUAGGUGGUUGAUCGCGUCGGAAGUGUAAUCUUGGGGCUUAACCCUGAGCGUGCUUUCGAUACGGGUUGACUUGAGGAAGGUAGGGGAGAAUGGAAUUCCUGGUGGAGCGGUGGAAUGCGCAGAUAUCAGGAGGAACACCAGUGGCGAAGGCGGUUCUCUGGGCCUUUCCUGACGCUGAGGAGCGAAAGCGUGGGGAGCGAACAGGCUAGAUACCCUGGUAGUCCACGCUGUAAACGGUGGGUACUAGGUGUGGGGUCCAUUCCACGGGUUCCGUGCCGUAGCUAACGCUGUAAGUACCCCGCCUGGGGAGUACGGCCGCAAGGCUAAAACUCAAAGGAAUUGACGGGGCCCCGCACAAGCGGCGGAGCAUGCGGAUUAAUUCGAUGCAACGCGUAGAACCUUACCUGGGUUUGACAUGGAUCGGGAGUGCUCAGAGAUGGGUGUGCCUCUUUUGGGGUCGGUUCACAGGUGGUGCAUGGCUGUCGUCAGCUCGUGUCGUGAGAUGUUGGGUUAAGUCCCGCAACGAGCGCAACCCUUGUUCACUGUUGCCAGCACGUUAUGGUGGGGACUCAGUGGAGACCGCCGGGGUCAACUCGGAGGAAGGUGGGGAUGACGUCAAGUCAUCAUGCCCCUUAUGUCCAGGGCUUCACGCAUGCUACAAUGGCUGGUACAGAGAGUGGCGAGCCUGUGAGGGUGAGCGAAUCUCGGAAAGCCGGUCUCAGUUCGGAUUGGGGUCUGCAACUCGACCUCAUGAAGUCGGAGUCGCUAGUAAUCGCAGAUCAGCAACGCUGCGGUGAAUACGUUCCCGGGGCU